GCACCACCGGCACAGCCCAGAGCAAGGGCGAGAGGACAGCCAGGAUUGCUUUUUUUAGUUUGCAGAGGUCUGGGAAAACGGAGCGUUUUCCUUGGCUGCCCUAACGGGAUCCAGCGAUGAUUCACGUGGGCAGCGAUGCCAGCUGGGACGUCAGUGCCUGGUGAAGAAUUGUCUCUCUCUGCAAAGGGCGACGCCGUUUCAACCUCUUUAUUAAACCAAGCACAAUCCUGUGCACCAGCAGAGAUGAAGAAAAGCUCCUGAUAAGUGGGACUGGCCAUUCCCCGAGUUCCCAGUCUCCUUGGUUACAGUACGCCACACAAGUGCUUUUCUCGGAGAGCAGGCUGUGAGCAGGGAGUCUGAAUCCCAGAUUUUGAGAGGUUCCCCAUCUCCCUGCCUCAUACCUGGUGCUGGGAGGAUGCUCAGCACACGACGGGGUGGGGAACGGGCUCCUGCUGGUUUUGCUGAGAGUCAGAGCAGAUCCAAUGGACUCUGUGCAAUCCCAGAUCCCAAAGCCUGGACGAGCUGCUGCCAGCUAUUAACAAGACUGAAUGAGGGAUGUGCUGCCUGUUGGAACUGGUGUGAGGAUAUGGGGAGCAGUAGGGGGCUCAGAGAGCCUCAGCCCUCACCCAGCUCCUCCAGGGAAGCCCAGGAGGGUGCUGGUCCCAUAUCCAGUGACAGGAGGGUGCCAGUCCCAUAUCCAGUGACAGGAGGGUGCCAGUCCCAUAUCCAGUGACAGGAGGAUGCCGGUCCCAUAUCCAGUGACAGGAGGAUGCUGGUUCCAUAUCCAGUGACAGGAGGAUGCUGGUCCCAUAUCCAGUGACAGGAGGGUGCCAGUCCCACAUCCCGUGACAAAAAGGUGCUGGUCCCAGCUCUAGAGCACAGGCAGGAGUAGCUUCAACACAAGUUUGCCACUCUGACCCUGCACCAAUGCUGUGCCCACGGUGCCACGUGCUGCAAUGCCACCUCGGUGGUGUCACCCAGGGCACGGCAGUCCCAAGGGGUUGCUGUCACCACAGCCAACCUGUGGCAGCCAUUAGUAACGUGAUCCCCUGGCUGGUCAGAACCUCCUGUACCUAUGGUAAUGGACUACCAUAAUUCACAAUUAUAAUGUCAGAUUUAAACCCAGGGCUUGUGCAAAAGGCUAAAAAUAUCCCUUUGCUCAUGGGAUCUCAGUAUUAUUUGCUUUGCUAUAUUGGAAGCUAAAUGCUCUCACGAACAUCAAGUGAUUGUGCUGAGAUUAAACACUUUUCUUCUGUUUAUGCACGUUUCACCCUUUUAUAGUUUUAUUAAAACGCUGGCUGCACUCUCAA